CAGCCGCCGCGGUAAUACAGAGGGUGCGAGCGUUAAUCGGAUUUACUGGGCGUAAAGCGUGCGUAGGCGGUUUCUUAAGUCGGAUGUGAAAUCCCUGAGCUUAACUUAGGAAUUGCAUUCGAUACUGGGAAGCUAGAGUAUGGGAGAGGAUGGUAGAAUUCCAGGUGUAGCGGUGAAAUGCGUAGAGAUCUGGAGGAAUACCGAUGGCGAAGGCAGCCAUCUGGCCUAAUACUGACGCUGAGGUACGAAAGCAUGGGGAGCAAACAGGAUUAGAGACCCCGGUAGUCCCUGUCUCUUAUAC
rnacentral:rRNA from 1 species